rfam:Vibrio phage phi 3, complete genome.
GGGUGAUAAGCUGAAGUGGUCGAGGCACUGGAUUGCAAAUCCUGAAUUAGCCGGUUCGAGUCCGGUAUCCUCCU